UUUUGAACAUAAUAUCUACAUGAAUACAUACUGAAUAAACACAGGUCUGUGACAUGCAAACACAAGCGAGAAGGAACGAGUUGUGAAAAAAAGCAUUCCUGACAGAGUAAGAGAAGCAACAGAAGUGCAAGGAAAGAUUGAAGAAGCCAACAAAAGCUGCAUAAGAAAACCUUCUAGAUCUGUGGGAUGUGCACAGACAGAGGAAGCAGAUCUUCUCUCUCAAGGGCUAUGUACACUGUGCAAAGCCCAAACUGCAAGCCAGAGGAUCUAGGAGAACUGAAUGAAUUUGAGAAGAAGUAACUGAUGAAGUUGAGCAGGCAUGGGUAAAAGGGUUCUCCAUAUUGUCCCCUCACAAGAAGGAGCCCCCCUUACAAGAAGGACUACCGAGAUACUGGACCACAUAUGGGGCAAUGAAGCUGGUGAAGGAUCUGGAGCACAAGUCUUCUGAGGAAUG